UUGUUGGUAAGGUAAAAGCUUACCAAGGCUUCGAUCAGUAGCUGGUCUGAGAGGACGACCAGCCACACUGGGACUGAGACACGGCCCAGACUCCUACGGGAGGCAGCAGUGGGGAAUUUUGGGCAAUGGGGGCAACCCUGAUCCAGCCAUGCCGCGUGAGUGAAGAAGGCCUUCGGGUUGUAAAGCUCUUUCAGCCGGAACGAAACGGUUACGGUUAACACCCGUGACUACUGACGGUACCGGAAGAAGAAGCACCGGCUAACUACGUGCCAGCAGCCGCGGUAAUACGUAGGGUGCGAGCGUUAAUCGGAAUUACUGGGCGUAAAGCGUGCGCAGGUGGUUUUGUAAGUCAGAUGUGAAAGCCCCGGGCUCAACCUGGGAACUGCGUUUGAAACUACAAGACUAGAGUGUGGCAGAGGGGGGUGGAAUUCCGCGUGUAGCAGUGAAAUGCGUAGAGAUGUGGAGGAACACCGAUGGCGAAGGCAGCCCCCUGGGUCAACACUGACGCUCAGGCACGAAAGCAUGGGGAGCAAACAGGAUUAGAUACCCUGGUAGUCCAUGCCCUAAACGAUGUCAACUAGUUGUCGGGCCUUUACGGGCUUGGUAACGUAGCUAACGCGUGAAGUUGACCGCCUGGGGAGUACGAUCGCAAGAUUAAAACUCAAAUGAAUUGACGGGGACCCGCACAAGCGGUGGAUUAUGUGGAUUAAUUCGAUGCAACGCGAAAAACCUUACCUACCCUUGACAUGUAUCGAAGCCCGCAGAAAAGCGGGGGUGCCCGAAAGGGAACGAUAACACAGGUGCUGCAUGGCUGUCGUCAGCUCGUGUCGUGAGAUGUUGGGUUAAGUCCCGCAACGAGCGCAACCCUUGUCAUUAAUUGCCAUCAUUUAGUUGGGCACUUUAAUGAGACUGCCGG
rnacentral:rRNA from 1 species